UUCGUUUAUUUGUUAUUUGAUAAUUCUCUCUCCAGUUUUUCUUUAUAGGCGAGAUUAAAACGUGCGUGAGAAAUGCUAAUGAUUCUCGUUGAAUACUUUUAAGAAAGAUGUCGAACUUUAUCAGAAUCAACAUACUGGUUGUACACGAUCAUUGUCUCAUCCUGAUUUUUAUUAAUAUUUCCCGAAACUCCAGCUCUCAAACGAUUACUCAAAUUGAACGCAAUCUAUCUAUCAAAAGAGUAAUAUCUGAAUUUCAUUUGUGGAAUCGUCCUGCCAUUUCUGUAUAUUACGCCUAUUAGGCUGUUCAAUUUUCGUACCUCUAAACACAUUUCUCGAUAAUUGUUUUAACUGUUUCACUUCUCUUAGAUAUCUGCGAGAUCUACCGAUACGUUACACUUCGCCGAAUAUAUAUUUUCCAUAUUUUCCAUUUUGUUCGUUGUACUGCAAACUUAAUGUUAAAAAUUGGUCAAGCGAUAUUAAUUAAUUUAUGGUUGUUCUCUCGUCAAAAAAUCUCAAAGAAAAGGUUUGCAUAAAUCCACAAAUGCUCGCACAUAUCUAAUGCUUCGAAUUUAGUUGUCCAAAUACGGUCAGGAACAGCGCACAAUAAAUGUACAGUAAUGUGAAAACAUCUGUUAACUGCGUUGAGAGUAUUGUAUACUAAAACUUAAAUAUUUAAUAACCUGCUCCUCUCGACUAAUCAACAUUGACGAUUUGUUCAUGAUAAAACAUGAUUCGAGUCUCGUCAAACCAAAGAAAAACCAAUUGUUCCUUUCUUUUUUUUUUUUUUAAGCCAUUCGUUACAAGAGCUGAAGCAUAAAGUUCAGACCGGAUGCUCACGCUGGCACACGUCGUUCCAAUCCUUCACGCUACCACGUCGAAGAUAAGAUCAAUUGCCACACACGAAGCUUAACCUUAACUAUGUACACGCGUAUCGCAUUUGAUUUUAAUCUUUUGCGAAAAUCGACGAUGUGUUUCGUCAUGCUACCGAUAAGAAAAAGAAAAAAUACAUGGAAUGGCAAAUCCUAUUUUCCCUUACGAUAGAAAUAAUUAUUAGAAGCAAGCAGCGACUCGGCUGAGACCAUUUUCCUCUCUGUCUUUUUUUCUUUUUCUUUCCUUUUUUUUUUUGUUUACAAACACUGUCAGUUACCUCGACAACGCUCGAGUUCAAAAUCUGCUCGAUAAAUCUGUUUCAAGAAAUCUGUUCGAAAGUUUUGCAACGGACAUCAAGGAAGAAGGAAAAGGAAUGAGUUAUUUUACAUUCGCGUGACCUAAACGAUAUGUAUGUAAAGCGCGAUCGAAACAAAUUGUUUCUUUAAUUGCACACAAGUUCGAACUUUCGAGCGUUCAAUGAUUAGAUUUAUCAUUCCAUUUCUAUAUCUUGUUAAGAUUUGUGAACCUUUUAAUCAUAAUUCAGUGAAUUAUAUAAUCUAUCUGUACAUUCACAACCGUUCAAAUACACAAUAAUAUCAACA